CGGAGUGUAGGUCAGUUGGUAGACUGCGUGGUUUGGGACCAUGAGGUCGGGGGUUCGAGUCCCUCCACUCCGACCA
rnacentral:tRNA from 1 species